rnacentral:rRNA from 1 species
UGAGGAAUAUUGGUCAAUGGACGGAAGUCUGAACCAGCCAAGUAGCGUGCAGGAUGACGGCCCUAUGGGUUGUAAACUGCUUUUAUGUGGGAAUAAAGUGAGGGACGUGUCCCUUUUUGUAGGUACCACAUGAAUAAGGACCGGCUAAUUCCGUGCCAGCAGCCGCGGUAAUACGGAAGGUCCGGGCGUUAUCCGGAUUUAUUGGGUUUAAAGGGAGCGUAGGCCGUCUUUUAAGCGUGUUGUGAAAUACUGUCGCUCAACGACAGAGGUGCAGCGCGAACUGGA